rnacentral:misc_RNA from 1 species
CGGGCGUCCUCACAAAUUACCUGCAUUCAGAGAUUCAUACCGGCACAGGUCGGUAUGCGAAGUCCCUUUUGGGGCCUUAGCUCAGCUGGGAGAGCACCUGCUUUGCAAGCAGGGGGUCGUCGGUUCGAUCCCGACAGGCUCCACCAUAUUGAGUGAAAAGACUUCGGGUCUGUAGCUCAGGUGGUUAGAGCGCACCCCUGAUAAGGGUGAGGUCGGUAGUUCGAGUCUACCCAGACCCACCACUCUGAAUGUAGUGCACACUUAAGAAUUUAUAUGGAUCAGCGUUGAGGCUGAGACAUGUUCUUUUAUAACUUGUGACGUAGCGAGCGUUUGAGAUAUCUAUCUAAACGUGUCGUUGAGGCUAAGGCGGGGACUUCGAGUCCCUAAAUAAUUGAGUCGUAUGUUCGCGUUGGUGGCUUUGUACUCCACACAACACGUACAUGUAGCUCCGAGGCAACUUGGGGUUAUAUGGUCAAGCGAAUAAGCGCACACGGUGGAUGCCUAGGCGGUCAGAGGCGAUGAAGGACGUGGUAGCCUGCGAAAAGUGUCGGGGAGCUG